UACGAAGGGUGCAAACGUUGCUCGGAAUUAUUGGGCGUAAAGCGCACGUAGGCGGCUUUGUAAGUUGGAUGUGAAAACCCUCGGCUCAACCAAGGAAGUGCAUCCAAAACUGCGAAGCUUGAGUACUUAAGAGGAUCGCGGAAUUCCCGGUGUAGAGGUGAAAUUCGUAGAUAUCGGGAGGAACACCAGUGGCGAAGGCGGGUCUCUGGACAGUUCCUGACACUGAGACACGAAGGCCAGGGGAGCAAACGGG
rnacentral:rRNA from 1 species